rnacentral:rRNA from 1 species
CCCUAUCUUUAGUUGCCAUCAUUGAGUUGGGCACUCUAAAGAGACUGCCGGUGUCAAACCGGAGGAAGGUGGGGAUGACGUCAAGUCCUCAUAGCCUUUAUGACCAGGGCUACACACGUACUACAAUGGCCGGUACAAAGGGCAGCGACACAGCGAUGUGAAGCCAAUCCCGAAAAGCCGGUCUCAGUCCGGAUUGGAGUCUGCAACUCGACUCCAUGAAGUUGGAAUCGCUAGUAAUCGCGGAUCAGCACGCCGCGGUCGAAUACGUUCCGGGCCUU